rnacentral:sRNA from 1 species
ACUAUUUAUUGUUUCUAAGCAAUAUUUUGUUGGUUGUAGCUUCUUUUGGGAGUAAAUGGGUAUAAGUGUUGUCUAAACACUUGUAAUCCAUCUCCAAAUCUAUAAUUAGUCAAAUGCAUUGGAUUAUAAAACAUUUUGACCAUCGACACACUAACAAAGCUAUUUAGUGCUUUUAAGCAAAUGUUUGUUGGUUUUAGCCUCUUUUGGGAGAAAAUGAGUAUAAUUGUUGUCUAAACACCCCUAAUCCAUCUCUAACUCUCUAAUUAGUCCAAUGCAUUGGAUUGUGAAACAUUUCGACUAUAGAAACACUAACAAAUCUAUUGACUGCUUUUAAGCAAAUUUUUCUGGUUUUAUCCUCUUUUCGCCGAAAAUGGGUAUAAGUGUUAUCUAAACACUCCUAAUCCAUCUCUAACUCUUAUAAUUAGUCGAAUGCAUUGGAUUGUGAUACAUUUUGACCAUAUAAACACUAACAAAGCUAUUUAGUGCUUCUAAGCAAUAUUUUGUUGGUUAUAGCUUCUUUAGGGAGAAAAUGGGUAUAAUUGUUGUCUAAACACUCCUAAUCCAUCUCUAACUCUAUAAUUAGUCCAAUGCAUUGGAUUGUGAAACAUUUUGACUAUAGAAACACUAACAAUUCUAUUGAGUGCUUUUAAGCA